GACGUAGGGGGCCAGCGUUGUUCGGAAUUACUGGGUGUAAAGCGUGCGCAGGCGGUUCGUUAAGUCAGAUGUGAAAGCCCCGGGCUCAACCUGGGAACUGCAUUUGAAACUGGCGGGCUUGAGUGUGGCAGAGGGGGGUGGAAUUCCACGUGUAGCAGUGAAAUGCGUAGAGAUGUGGAGGAAUACCGAUGGCGAAGGCAGCCCCCUGGGAUAACACUGACGCUCAUGCACGAAAGCGUGGGGAGCAAACAGG
rnacentral:rRNA from 1 species